ensembl:ncRNA R13A1.14 ncRNA
AAAAUCAAAAAUUUGCAAAAUUGAUAGUGUUGUCGCCAUCGACGCGAAAAUAUUGCUCCCUCAUGUGAUUUAUGAAGAGCAAAAGUUGGGUUUGAGUGUGUGGGUGAGGCAUUCAACAGUUCUAAACCGACAAUUUUUUGUUUCCAUC